AAGGCCAAACCACCCUGAAUGUUCCCGAUCGUGUCUGAUAUUGGAAGCUAAGCAUGGUCGGGCCUGGUUACUACUUGCAUGGGAGGCCACUUUUC
rnacentral:rRNA from 1 species